rnacentral:rRNA from 1 species
GACUCCUACGGGAGGCAGCAGUGGGGAAUAUUGGACAAUGGGCGGAAGCCUGAUCCAGCAACGCCGCGUGAGGGAUGACGGCCUUCGGGUUGUAAACCUCUUUCAGUACCGACGAAGCGCCGAUGAUGGUGAGUGACGGUAGGUACAGAAGAAGCACCGGCCAACUACGUGCCAGCAGCCGCGGUAAUACGUAGGGUGCGAGCGUUGUCCGGAAUUAUUGGGCGUAAAGGGCUCGUAGGCGGUUUGUCGCGUCGGGAGUGAAAACACCGGGCUUAACUCGGUGCUUGCUUUCGAUACGGGCAGACUAGAGGCAUGCAGGGGAGAACGGAAUUCCUGGUGUAGCGGUGAAAUGCGCAGAUAUCAGGAGGAACACCGGUGGCGAAGGCGGUUCUCUGGGCAUGUCCUGACGCUGAGGAGCGAAAGUGUGGGGAGCGAACAGGAUUAGAUACCCUGGUAGUCCACACCGUAAACGUUGGGCGCUAGGUGUGGGAUCCAUUCCACGGGUUCCGUGCCGCAGCUAACGCAUUAAGCGCCCCGCCUGGGGAGUACGGCCGCAAGGCUAAAACUCAAAGGAAUUGACGGGG